CCUACGGGUGGCAGCAGUGAGGAAUAUUGGUCAAUGGGCUUACGCCUGAACCAGCCAAGUCGCGUGAGGGAAGACUGCCCUAUGGGUUGUAAACCUCUUUUGUCAGGGAGCAAUUGGCGCUACGUGUAGCGUUAUCGAGAGUACCUGAAGAAAAAGCAUCGGCUAACUCCGUUCCAGCAGCCGCGGUAAUACGGAGGAUGCGAGCGUUAUCCGGAUUUGUUGGGUUUAAGGGGUGCGUGUGCGGAAUGCCAAGUCAGCGGUAAAAUCGCGGGGCUCAACCUCGCUCCGCCGUUGAAACUGGCGGUCUUGAGUGGGGGAGAAGUAUGCGGAAUGCGUGGUGUAGCGGUGAAAUGCAUAGAUAUCACGCAGAACUCCGAUUGCGAAGGCAGCAUACCGGCGCCCAACUGACGCUGAGGCACGAAAGCGUGGGUAUCGAACAGGAUUAGAUACCCGAGUAGUC
rnacentral:rRNA from 1 species